rnacentral:rRNA from 1 species
UACGUAGGGAGCAAGCGUUGUUCGGAUUUACUGGGCGUAAAGGGCGCGUAGGCGGCCAGCGCAAGUCAGUUGUGAAAUCUCCGGGCUUAACUCGGAAAGGUCAAGUGAUACUGUUGUGCUAGAGUGCGGAAGGGGCAACUGGAAUUCUCGGUGUAGCGGUGAAAUGCGUAGAUAUCGAGAGGAACACCUGCGGCGAAGGCGGGUUGCUGGGCCGACACUGACGCUGAUGCGCGAAAGCCAGGGGAGCGAACGGG